rnacentral:rRNA from 1 species
UACAGAGGUCCCAAGCGUUGUUCGGAUUCACUGGGCGUAAAGGGUGCGUAGGCGGUCGGGUAAGUCUGGCGUGAAAUCUCCAAGCCUAACUUGGAAACUGCGUUGGAUACUAUCCGGCUCGAGGAAUGGAGGGGAGACUGGAAUACUUGGUGUAGCAGUGAGAUGCGUAGAUAUCAAGUGGAACACCAGUGGCGAAGGCGAGUCUCUGGACAUUUCCUGACGCUGAGGCACGAAAGCCAGGGGAGCAAACGGG